UACAUAUUUAUUAACUACAUUCAAAAAAUUUUUAUUUAAACUCAUUUACUUAUAAAUCCAAUUUCAUAAUUAUUUUUCAAUAAAUAUCCAAAAUUUAAAUUAUUGUAAUACAUUUUAUCUUAUAUAUAACCUGCACCUUGACCUAACUUUUUUAUUUUAUAAUAAUAAAAAAACAUUUUUUUAAAAAAUUUUUUAAGAUGGAGGUAUACAAAAUAUAAUAAUAUAAGUGAAAAUCCUUGGGGUUUAUCAAUUAAAAAACAUAUUCCUCUAAAUUGAAUAAAUACCGCCAAAUUCUUUAACUUUCCUGAACAUAUCAUUUACUAAUCAAAAUUUGUUAAGCUAUCAA
rnacentral:rRNA from 1 species